AUUGAACGCUGGCGGCAUGCCUUACACAUGCAAGUCGAACGGCAGCACGGGUGCUUGCACCUGGUGGCGAGUGGCGAACGGGUGAGUAAUACAUCGGAACAUGUCCUGUAGUGGGGGAUAGCCCGGCGAAAGCCGGAUUAAUACCGCAUACGAUCUACGGAUGAAAGCGGGGGACCUUCGGGCCUCGCGCUAUAGGGUUGGCCGAUGGCUGGUUAGCUAGUUGGUGGGGUAAAGGCCUACCAAGGCGACGAUCAGUAGCUGGUCUGAGAGGACGACCAGCCACACUGGGACUGAGACACGGCCCAGACUCCUACGGGAGGCAGCAGUGGGGAAUUUUGGACAAUGGGCGAAAGCCUGAUCCAGCAAUGCCGCGUGUGUGAAGAAGGCCUUCGGGUUGUAAAGCACUUUUGUCCGGAAAGAAAUCCUUGGCCCUAAUACGGUCGGGGGAUGACGGUACCGGAAGAAUAAGCACCGGCUAACUACGUG
rnacentral:rRNA from 1 species